ACCUGAAACACGGCAUGACCAUAUGCAUUAGACAUAAAUAUAUGAAUCACAGAACAUGUGCAUGUUUAGAUGGGAUCAUCUGCUCUCCGCAUGUGACGCGGAAGUUGUGAGAAUAACACUGAGGUGACUUCCAGCGGUCGGGAAUGAGCAGUCUGUGUUCUGCUGCAGUGAGAAGAGUGAAAUACUCAUGAAACGGUGUUCCUGUAAGCGAUGUUUCAGGCUUUUAUCUGUACCUUCGAGCUCAUGACAGCGCAGCGUGAAGCAAGUCGCUGGAGAGGAAUCCUGCGAUUGAACAUGGAGCUGAGGGGGCGGAGCGCGACGCGACGGAAUCUGUUUUCUCAUUGGUCAGAUGCGAUGACGAAAAACCUAUGAAGUUUUUCUAAGUGUUCAAACAUUGCUAUUUCUUCCAUUCCUGAGAGGGGAGUGAAGAGCAUUUCCCAAGUGACAAGAGAAACACGGAAUCACACUUCUCCGUUUCCCCAUUCCCCAUCAGACUCACAUCAGUUUGGAGAAAGCACAACACAGUCACAGUGUUUGUACUCAACAUAUGGAUGACUUACUUAUGGCUGAAUCUGCAUAUUAUCUAGGAUAAUUGGAAAAAAGACACUCGACAACUUUAAAUGUUACGUUACAGACAGUUUAUAGAUGCUUCUAAGUUCUGAACAUGGACCCAAGGGCCAAUCUGCUGUUAAAGGCACAAUAUGUAAGACUUUUUACAUUACACUCAAAUGUAUCUAAUAUGAUAAACAGCGCUGCGUUACUCCACACACUUUUGACUGGCGACUGCGGCAUAAUAAAAGUCAGAUUUCUGCCCGAGUCUCGAUUCUUUUCCACCAGCUGUAGAUGUGAAGACAACACCUCCCAUGAUUCUGUGAAAUCAAGGCAUCAUCAAGCUACGCCUUUGUUUUGAAUAAGCGACCUCUAGUGGUGAAAAUUUACAUAUUGUGCCUUUAGUCUAUAGUUUAUGUAAAGCAUAAAGGGCCAUUCAAAAAUAGUCUGAAGAAACACAAUCUAUUCAUCAUAUAAAGUGAUCGUGUCUCUUCAGAAAAUGUGGACUAAACUGCUCGAUUCACUUGUGUUUUGAAGAUGAACAAAUGUCUUACAGGUGUGGAACGGCAUGAGAGUGAG